rnacentral:rRNA from 1 species
AUUGAACGCUGGCGGCAUGCCUUACACAUGCAAGUCGAGCGGCAGCGCGGGGGCAACCCUGGCGGCGAGCGGCGAACGGGUGAGUAAUACAUCGGAACGUGUCCUUUCGUGGGGGAUAACCAGUCGAAAGACUGGCUAAUACCGCAUGAGAUCACACGAUGAAAGCGAGGGACCGCAAGGCCUCGCGCGAUUGGAGCAGCCGAUGUCGGGUUAGCUAGUUGGCGGGGUAAGAGCCCACCAAGGCGACGAUCCGUAGCUGGUUUGAGAGAACGACCAGCCACACUGGGACUGAGACACGGCCCAGACUCCUACGGGAGGCAGCAGUGGGGAAUUUUGGACAAUGGGGGCAACCCUGAUCCAGCAAUGCCGCGUGAGUGAAGAAGGCCUUCGGGUUGUAAAGCUCUUUUGUCAGGGAAGAAAAGGCUGUGGCUAAUAUCCACGGCUCAUGACGGUACCUGAAGAAUAAGCACCGGCUAACUACGUGCCAGCCGCCGCAGUAACAC